GAUGAACGCUGGCGGCGUGCUUAACACAUGCAAGUCGAACGGUGAAGCAGAGCUUGCUCUGUGGAUCAGUGGCGAACGGGUGAGUAACACGUGAGCAAUCUGCCCCUGACUCUGGGAUAAGCGCUGGAAACGGCGUCUAAUACCGGAUACGAGCUGCGAAGGCAUCUUCAGCAGCUGGAAAGAAUUUCGGUCAGGGAUGAGCUCGCGGCCUAUCAGCUUGUUGGUGAGGUAACGGCUCACCAAGGCGUCGACGGGUAGCCGGCCUGAGAGGGUGACCGGCCACACUGGGACUGAGACACGGCCCAGACUCCUACGGGAGGCAGCAGUGGGGAAUAUUGCACAAUGGGCGAAAGCCUGAUGCAGCAACGCCGCGUGAGGGACGACGGCCUGCGGGUUGUAAACCUCUUUUAGCAGGAAAGAAGCGAAAGUGACGGUACCUGCAGAAAAAGCGCCGGCUAACUACGUGCCAGCCGCCGCGGUAAAAC
rnacentral:rRNA from 1 species